rnacentral:rRNA from 1 species
GUUAUCGUUUAUUUGAUAAUACCUUACUACUUGGAUAACCGUGGUAAUUCUAGAGCUAAUACAUGCUGAAAAUCCCGACUUCGGAAGGGAUGUGUUUAUUAGAUAAAAAACCAAUGCCCUUCGGGGCUUUUUGGUGAUUCAUGAUAACUUUACGGAUCGCAUAGCCUUGCGCUGGCGACGGUUCAUUCAAAUUUCUGCCCUAUCAACUUCCGAUGGUAAGGUAUUGGCUUACCAUGGUUUCAACGGGUAACGGGGAAUUAGGGUUCGAUUCCGGAGAGGGAGCCUGAGAAACGGCUACCACAUCCAAGGAAGGCAGCAGGCGCGCAAAUUACCCAAUCCCGACACGGGGAGGUAGUGACAAUAAAUACUGAUACAGGGCUCUUUUGGGUCUUGUAAUUGGAAUGAGUACAAUUUAAACCUCUUAACGAGGAACAAUUGGAGGGCAAGUCUGGUGCCAGCAGCCGCGGUAAUUCCAGCUCCAAUAGCGUAUAUUAAAGUUGUUGCAGUUAAAAAGCUCGUAGUUGAAACUUGG